UGGGGAAUAUUGCGCAAUGGGGGCAACCCUGACGCAGCCAUGCCGCGUGAAUGAAGAAGGCCUUCGGGUUGUAAAGUUCUUUCGGUAGCGAGGAAGGCAUUUAGUUUAAUAAACUAGAUGAUUGACGUUAACUACAGAAGAAGCACCGGCUAACUCCGUGCCAGCAGCCGCGGUAAUACGGAGGGUGCGAGCGUUAAUCGGAAUAACUGGGCGUAAAGGGCACGCAGGCGGUGACUUAAGUGAGGUGUGAAAGCCCCGGGCUUAACCUGGGAAUUGCAUUUCAUACUGGGUCGCUAGAGUACUUUAGGGAGGGGUAGAAUUCCACGUGUAGCGGUGAAAUGCGUAGAGAUGUGGAGGAAUACCGAAGGCGAAGGCAGCCCCUUGGGAAUGUACUGACGCUCAUGUGCGAAAGCGUGGGGAGCAAACAGGAUUAGAUACCCUGGUAGUCCACGCUGUAAACGAUGUCGAUUUGGGGGUUGAGCUUUGAGCUUGGCGCCCGUAGCUAACGUGAUAAAUCGACCGCCUGGGGAGUACGGCCGCAAGGUUA
rnacentral:rRNA from 1 species